rnacentral:ncRNA from 1 species
AAAGGUUUGGUCCCAGCCUUAUUAUCAACUGUUUCUUAACUUACACAUGCAAGUCUCAGCACACCCGUGAGAACGCCCUUUCAACCUUUACCAUGCUAAGGAGCUGGUAUCAGGCACACCCUAAUCCUGCCCAUAACACCUAGUCUUACCACGCCCUCAAGGGUAAUCAGCAGUGAUAAAUUUUGUGCAUAAGCGAUAGCUUGACCCAGUUAAAGAAAAGAGGGCCGGCUAACCCGGUGCCAGCCGCCGCGGCUACACCGUUGGGGCUCGAGUUGCUAAUUUAUCGGCGUCAAGCGUGAUUAAAGAUUUUCUAAAAAUUAUAGUUGAAUUAAUACUCAGUAGUGACAAGCUUGUUAUUAAGAAAAUCGUAAACGAAAGUUACUCUAAUUAUUUAUCUUGAACACACGACAACUAGGAACACAAACUGGGAUUAGAUACCCCACUAUGCCUAGACGUAAACAAUUUAUUUACAUACUUUAACGCCCGGGUAUUACGAGCAAUGCUUAAAACCCAAAGGACUUGACGGUGUCUCACCCACCUAGAGGAGCCUGUUCUAUAAUCGAUAACCCCCGCUUUACCUAACCAUUCUUUGCCUAAUAGUCUGUAUACCUCCGUCGGAAGCUUACCAUAUGAACGCCCAUAGUAAGCCCAAUGGUCACCCACCAACACGUCAGGUCAAGGUGCAACUUAUAGGAUGGAAAGAAAUGGGCUACAAUUUCUAAAUUAGAACAAACGAAAGGCUGUCUGAAACCCCAGUCAUGAAGGAGGAUCUAGUAGUAAAAGGGGAAUAGAGAGCUCCUUUUAACCCGGCACUGAGACGCGUACACACCGCCCGUCACCCUCUUCAAUAGUUAUUCGUCUAGAUUAUUAACAAAUUAACCACGCCUUAGAAGAGGCAAGUCGUAACACGGUAGGGGUACUGGAAAGUGCCCCUGGUAGACAC